GAUGAACGCUGGCGGCGUGCCUAAUACAUGCAAGUCGAGCGAACGGACGAGAAGCUUGCUUCUCUGAUGUUAGCGGCGGACGGGUGAGUAACACGUGGAUAACCUACCUAUAAGACUGGGAUAACUUCGGGAAACCGGAGCUAAUACCGGAUAAUAUUUUGAACCGCAUGGUUCAAAAGUGAAAGACGGUCUUGCUGUCACUUAUAGAUGGAUCCGCGCUGCAUUAGCUAGUUGGUAAGGUAACGGCUUACCAAGGCAACGAUGCAUAGCCGACCUGAGAGAGUGAUCGGCCACACUGGAACUGAGACACGGUCAAGACUCCUACGGGAGGCAGCAGUAGGGAAUCUUCCGCAAUGGGCGAAAGCCUGACGGAGCAACGCCGCGUGAGUGAUGAAGGUCUUCGGAUCGUAAAACUCUGUUAUUAGGGAAGAACAUAUGUGUAAGUAACUGUGCACAUCUUGACGGUACCUAAUCAGAAAGCCACGGCUAACUACGUG
rnacentral:rRNA from 1 species